CCCAACUGUAACGCAUGGAAAAUCCACCAAACCCAUCGCGACGAAGACACGCCUCUGUAAACUGCUGAUAAGAGGAGGGUUUGAAAAAGGCGGGAAUAGAAACGCAGCUCUGAUUUUGAUUGGUUAACCCAGAUGUCUGUGAAUGCUUAUUUGUAUAGCCAGGGGCGGUUGUAUAGGCAGAGGUGUCGGCUGGACUGAUACUGAGAAGCAAAGUUCACUGCUGAGAAGACUGCAGUGAUAUUAAAGAAAUGUAACUUUAUCUGCUCUAUUCUAUAUAUUAAAGAAGAAAAGAAAAAAACACCGUGCAUCACUGUUUUAAUGGUCAACUUCUUGAUCAAAUGGUGUUUAUUUUUAAAAUGCAAGGAGUUCUGAAUAAUUUAAGAAUCGCUACAGUAAGAACGACCAAGCUGGAUCCAGCAGUAGGAAAGCCACUGACUAACGCACAUUGCGCUUGUUUUCGAUUCCACUGUGCGUGUGACAGCGGCUAACCUGCUUUUCGGACAUCACAUGAGUUACAGCUGUCAGCAUCAGGAGUCAGUACUGUGUAAGCCUGCUUCUGUAACGUGUGUGAUACAGAGGGAUUACAGCCCAAGCCAGGAGUCCUAGGACAAAAGGGGUAUGGUAAAUGCAUGUUAUAACCAGGGGCAAGGCAUACGAAAACUGAAAAAUUAUUGUUUAAUUCACAAUUGUAAACUUUUUAGGGUUCUUACACAGUUUUUAAAAAGUACCAAACAAAACAAACAAUAAUAAACUUUUAAAAAAUCAGCAUGAAAUAAUCGGAGUCCGUUAGAUUAGGUUUUGCUUUGUAUAUUUAUGGAUUUUUAAAAUAUUGUUUAUAACAGUGGAUUGUAAAAAGAAAUAAUA